ACUGUAUCCAGAGUACCACGAGACACGUGAAACCUUGUGGGAAGCAGGGGGGACCACCCUCCAAGCCAAAAUACUGAUAUCGACCGAUAGCGCAUAGUACCGUGAGGGAAAGGUGAAAAGAACCCCUGGCGGGGAGUGAAAGAGAACCUGAAACCGUAUGUCUACAAACAGUCGAAGUCUGUAUAUAUAUCAGGACGACGGCGUGCCUAUUGAAGAAUGAACCGACGAGUUACUGUUGCUAGCGAGGUUAAGUGGAAAACAUGGAGCCGCAGCGAAAGCGAGUCUGAACAGGGCGUUCAGUUAGUAAUAGUAGACCCGAAACCGUAGUGAUCUAUCCAUGGCCAGGUUGAAGCACAGGUAAAAUUGUGUGGAGGACCGAACUCGUGAGCGUUGAAAAGCUUUGGGAUGAGUUGUGGAUAGGGGUGAAAUGCCAAUCGAACACGGAGAUAGCUGGUUCUCCCCGAAAUAGCUUUAGGGCUAGCCUCGAGGUAGAGAGUAUAGGCGGUAGAGCACUGAUCGGGCUAGGGGCCAUACCGGUUACCGAACCUAGUCAAACUACGAAUGGCUAUACUUAUACUCGGGAGUCAGACAGUGAAUGAUAAGGUCCAUUGUCAAGAGGGAAACAGCCCAGAACACCGACUAAGGUCCCCAAUGUUACACUAAGUGGCGAAGGAUGUGGAAUUUCCAAAACAACCAGGAUGUUGGCUUAGAAGCAGCCACCAUUUAAAGAGUGCGUAAUAGCUCACUGGUCGAGAGACUCUGCGCCGAAAAUGUCCGGGGCUAAAGUGUAAAACCGAAGUCGUGUCAUAUGCAGCAAUGUAUAUGGGUAGGGGAGCGUUCUCAUCGGGCUGAAGCAGUACCGUAAGGAGUUGUGGACUGAUGAGAAGUGAGAAUGUCGGUAUGAGUAGCGAAAAGAAUGGUGAGAAUCCAUUCCACCGAAAGCCUAAGGGUUCCUGAGCAACGAUCGUCGUCUCAGGGUAAGUCGGGACCUAAGCCGAGGCGGAAAAGCGUAGGCGAUGGACAACAGGUUGAAAUUCCUGUACCGGUGUGAAUCGUUUGAUCGAUGGAGUGACACAGUAAGGUAGGUCAGCACGCGAUUGGAAGAGCGUGUUUAAGCAGGUAGGUUGAGCUAUAGGCAAAUCCGUAGCUCUAAAAGCUGAGAUGUGAUGACGAGUGACUAGCAAUAGUCGCGAAGUGAUUGAUCCUACACUGUCGAGAAAAGCUUCUAGGUAGAGACACAUCGCCCGUACCAAAACCGACACAGGUAGGCGGGGAGAGAAUCCUAAGGUGCGCGGGAAAACCCUCGUUAAGGAACUCGGCAAAAUGCCUCCGUAACUUCGGGAAAAGGAGGACUCAUGUAGUGUGAAGAGCAGAAGCGCUUGGAGCAUGAAUGAGUGGCACAAGAGAGGCGCAAGCGACUGUUUACCACAAACACAGGUGCCUGCUAAAGCGAAAGCUGAUGUAUAGGUGCUGACACCUGCCCGGUGCUGGAAGGUUAAGAGGAGGGGUUAGACUUCGGUCGAAGCUCUGAAUUGAAGCCCCAGUAAACGGCGGCCGUAACUAUAACGGUCCUAAGGUAGCGAAAUUCCUUGUCGGGUAAGUUCCGACCCGCACGAAAGGUGUAACGACUUGCGCACUGUCUCAACGAGGGACCCGGUGAAAUUGAAGUACCUGUGAAGAUGCAGGUUACCCGCGACUGGACAGAAAGACCCCAUGGAGCUUUACUGCAACCUAAGAUUGAACUUAGUUAAUGAAUGUACAGGAUAGGUGGGAGACGUAGAACCUAGGACGCCAGUUUUAGGGGAGUCGCUGUUGGGAUACCACCCUUUCAUUAAUUGAUUUCUAACGGGCCGAGUAACGACCGGCCGGACAGUCUUAGGCGGGCAGUUUGACUGGGGCGGUCGCCUCCAAAAGAGUAACGGAGGCGCCCAAAGGUUCCCUCAGAGCGGACGGAAAUCGCUCGAAGAGUGUAAAGGCAGAAGGGAGCUUGACUGCGAGACGGACAGGUCGAGCAGGGACGAAAGUCGGGCUUAGUGAUCCGGUGGUGCCGAGUGGAAGGGCCAUCGCUCAACGGAUAAAAGCUACCCUGGGGAUAACAGGCUAAUCUCUCCCA
rnacentral:rRNA from 1 species